UUUCUGGUAAUGAUGAUGUCUGAUAAGUUGGAGGGUCAUAUAAAACUCCGUCAAUUUCAAGGGGCAAGUCGUUUAAAAAGGAAUCUGUAAAUAUACCGCUCUGUAUAUUCCCUGACAUGUCAUUUAUUUCAGACUCGCUAAAUAAAUGGUCAACAUUAUCGCUACUGUCAUUAAAACUUGUUGAGUCGCCUGCGUUUUUUUCGCAAAUUUUUUUAAAAGAAUCUACACUGUUGGACAAAUUUGUGAUAAUAUUGACCUUUAAAUCAUGGUCCAAUACUUUCAAGGAACAUUUAUUUACAGUAUUCUAUGGAUAAUUCGGUACUGGGUCUUUUCUGAAAGAUUUCAUUACGCCGGGUUGAAAUACACUUUGACUAAUCAACUGAGUCAGGGCUUAAUGGAUAAAGGCCACAAAUUCAGAAUCCAUUUAUAAGGGUUUCUGGUUUAGAAGCCUUAUCAAAAGCUUCUUUAAAGAGGAUGUUGUGCCGAUUAAUUGGUGUACAACUCUUUUUUUGUUUAUGAAGUCGGCACACAGAUUUCCAUUCAACUUUUAGGGGUCUAAAUAUACUGACAUCACAAGGUUGUAGUAUGUGUGUCGAGUUCGGGUAUAAACAAUAAAGGAUGAUUCUGUUUUACACAGAAUUCAUACAGGUCCAAAUUAUAGUGCAAUGUAUGAAAAGAAUUACUGGAAAUAUAACGCUAUUUUCCAAAAGCCAGGGAUAAAAUAUAUUCGCAAUAUAUUUAAAAAACGUUGCACUGGUCAUCCACCCAGAAUCGGACCUCCCAAUGGCCCAACCUUUUGGCACCGAAAGAGCUAGCGCUUUAGGAAUUCUUUUGUAUGGGAAAACAAUCAUUGGUGGGACUGCCACACCAUUAGCAGCAUAGUUGCACAGCACUGUAAUUGACUCUUUUUCAUUUCCGCCUGCAAUCUCGUAAAGGUUUUUAAACUUUUUGGAGGGCCCUAGAACCAAACCUGACUUCAUACACGUUCUUAUACCGUUAAGUACUGGAUAAGUUCUAAAAACCAUUGCCUUAUACCAUCCUCAGUAACCGCAGCACCAGUUUUGGAAAUAAUCUCUGUAUUUCUUUUUGAAAUUUGUGGGUGCCUCUGAAGAAAAAGCUUUAACCAUUUAUCUCCUGGUCUAUCAUCAGUAAAAUUAUUUGGUCGUUGAGAAUCUUUAAGGACUUUUUGUACUGAGUCCUUAACCUCAUUGGGAUGCAUUGGAAAUCCCAAUUUGGCUUUUGACAAAAUCCAAUUAACUAAUCUAGUUUCAUGAGCGCUCAAGACUGUAAAGGGGCCCAUUUUUUCGAAUAUGUGGCACCUUUCCCGUUAAUUUGUUAUGUAAAGUGGACUUUGGUAUGCCAUAUUUAGAAGAAGCUUUAUUUAAUGAAAUAGUUGCAGCUUGAAUUUCACUAAUUGCUGCAUCCAAAGCUUCCUCCGUGUAUUUAAAACGUGAAUAUUUUGGAGCCAUCUGAAAAAUAAUUGUCGUCCAAUAAAUGAACACCAGUAAAUAAACGUUUUCUAUUAACUUUCAUUUACUGGUUUGACUGCAUUUGGGUAUAAAUGCUAUUAUUCAAGUUAGUUCAGUUCUAUGUAAGAUAUGUUUAAGGUGGAAAUUCGCAUAAAAAAUUAUUUUAAGUAAAAUCCAGUAAAUGAACACACUGUUCAUUUACUAUAUUUAAAAAAAAAAAUUAAACCAGUAAUUGAACAUGCAGGAAUUAUUCAAUAAUAAAAAAGAAUUAGGUAUAAACUCAUUUUAAAGAAAACAAUUAUAGUGUCCAACAUAUCCUCGGUACAUAUCUUACGAUCGGUUUUGCUUUUAUAUGACCUAAAAUAAAAUAGGUGAGGAUAAAUACCAAAAAAAAUUUUGAUUCUUAUGGGGCAUAAGUCCGCAGUGCGGAUUUUUACCCCACACACUACUGCGGACUUUUGCCCCAAAUGUAACGGGCUCACAAAGAUAUUUCCUACCUUUACGUACAGCGAGGAUGGAGGCACUACUCUUUAUGCUUUACAACCAAACAUAACCUAUAUAUUGUAAAUAUUAUAAAUGCGGAUUUAAAGUAAUCCGUUUUUAGUUACACCUUAAAUAGUAUGAUGACGAAAUUACUUGAACAGCUUGCAAAUCUGUAACUUACCUCAUAAUUCGCACAAUUAUUCACUACUAGAAAUAUUUUUCUCGUCGAUGCAUGCAUGUGUAAGGCUAAAACCACUUGUUGCGACAUUGUCAAAUUGCAAGGGAUAUAUCAGUAAAAUCAUUUUCGGACUUUUGCCCCACUUUAUUCUAUGGAUAUUCCUAGUUUUUAAAUAGUAGCAGCGGCUAUUUCGCCUUGUUCUUAGAGCAUGCUUAUGUGUGGAUUUCUGAUUUUGCGAUAUUUGUUUUCCUAGUCGUUUUUUUGUUAGUUAUACUCCACACUACCUUACAAUUAAAACUGCAUUACACAGCUCUAACCCCAGUAUGGAAAUUGCUUUUAAGGGUGCCACCCGCGAUUUCGCACAAAACAGUUGUGUAAAACAACCAAGUUUCAUCGAAUGAUCUUAAAUAAAUACAACAAUCGUAUCCAUAUUAAGGAGCAUCACAAAAGGUAUUUGGAAUUAUAUAUUAAAUCAUGUCCUUUUAUAUUAAUGCAAUCAACUAAAUUGGGAUCAAUUACUAGGUUUAAUCAUAUGUUAUUUAUAUUGGAAGGAAGGAGGGAACCAUGGCCCUCCUUACAUUACCAAAUACUUUGCAUUACAAUCUUAGCAUGAAUAAUUGGUGUCAAUAAUUCUAGCGACUCAAAACUACUGGUGAAAGGUAUGCUACGUUUUGUAAUUUUUUUGAGAUUUUAUGUCAUAAUUUCUUAGGGAAUACAGUAAUCUGAAUCUAUCAGACUUGAGUCCCAAAUUUAACCUAAAGUUCCAUUUCAUUACACUGAGACAUUCCAAAUCUAUUUAAAACUCGUUUUAAACAGUGUUGCCAGGUCAAUAAUUUUGAAUGUACCAGAUUGUCUGGGAAAAUGUACCAAUUUGUGUAUAAAUUGUACCACUUUUUUUGUACAAUUACUAUUGGUGGCAAAAGGAGAAUAGUAUAGCUCGCCGCUGAAGCGCGCCGCGAAAAAUUUUUGAAUUUUAAGAUUAUAUUUUGGAGUAAAAUUGCGUCAAAACUAUUCUAUUUACAUUAAAAUAUAAAAUUCUCUAUUUUGGUCAUUGAAAAAUGGUACUUAUUUUGGUAAUAAUUAUUCGGCUGAUAUAAUCAAUUGCAGUAAAACCACAGAAGUAAAUAGGUAUAUGAAUAUAUUUUACAAAAAAAAAACAAACAAACAAAAAAUUCAUACAGAUAUAGAUAAAAAUAUAGGAACUAAAUCACCGAUUCUAAAAGGUCUUAACAUAAAAAUAAAACGAAUAAAAAAACUUAUUAAUUAAAAUAAGAUGUAUAUGUAUAUAAAAAAAAAUUUCUCUUUGUCCAGAUACUUAAAUAACAAAAAACAAAAGUAAACCUCUAUUAACUAAUGAUGUAUACAUAUUAUACAAUAAAUAAUUAAUUACAUUUUAUAUUUCUAUAAAUAUUUUGGCUUUUGUUGCAAAAGUUUUUCUGAAGAUUGCCAUGUAUAGCAUACGUUAUUAUCCAGCAUAUCUGAGGAUAAUAAGAUGGAAUUGCAUGUAGUUAUAUUCAGUCUAUUUCUUAGAUCGUCUUUAAUAACACUCAAUUUGGAAAAUUUUCUUUCGGCUGCAGCAGAAGAAUGAGGCAGGCACAUUACAGUCUUUAUUAAUUUUGUUAGGUUUGGAAACAUUUCCAUAUCUAGCUCAGUUUUUACAGUGAAAUACGUGUGACGAAAAAGAAUCAAAAUCAGUUGUUUGUUUUUUAAAUCAAUAUCUGGCAACAUUCGCCACUCUAAGUCUAAUUUCUGAGGGGAUAAAUUGAGAAAUUUAAAAUACUUUUGAGCUUCAAAAAUUGACGCAAUAUCGCCACUGGCGGAGAGUGGACUGUAGUUAUUUUAUGUUUUUUAAUUACGGACUCGAUAAUACGUAAUAUGAUUUAUUUGGUAACAGAAACUUAUAAAUUAUACAGAUAAAAAAUGUGUGCGACCGGUCUUUUUUUUGUUGACAGACAGACCGAUACGUAAGCUGGUUCCCGGAAGAGCUGGGCCGAACGAGAGGCAAAGUAGGAAUGUGCCAGCUUGGUCUGUUAUUUCUCUAUACUCCCCCGCGUUGAACUGGUUCAACUUUUUGAACUGGUUCAAAGUUCAACUUUAGCAUGGUCCGGAACUUCAUCAGAAACUGGCAAGGAACAAAUCUUUGUUAUUGCCCGCUUCACAUCUCCUUUGCUGGUUCGAAUAUUCACCACUAGAACAACGUCAUCGGAACCUGGAUGGGUGGCUGUAACUUGUCCCAGCAACCACUUGCAUGGGGGCAGAUUGUCGGCCUUGAGUAGAACAAGCGCAUCCUUCUUGAUGUUGGCAAACGUCUGUUUCCAUUUGCCCCUUUCUUGCAGCUGGUUCAAGUAACAUUUAGACCAGCGCUUCCAAAAGUCCUGGUUGAUUUUCUGCAGCAGCUGAUAUCUUGAGAAGCUGCUAACUUUGACAUCUUCCAAAUUAGGGUCUGGAGCGGCAAUGAUUGGCCUCCCAAUUAAAAAAUGAGAAGGGGUAAGGGAUUCGAAAUCAGAGGGAUCAGAUGAUAAGGGAUAUAAAGGACGAAAGUUGAGAAUUGACUCUAUUUGAACUAGAAUUAUCGCAAACUCUUCAUACAUUUAAAUGGUGUUUUGAAUAACCCUCUUUAAGUGGUAUUUAACUCCCUUAAUGUUUGAUUCCCAUAAUCCACCAAACGUGGGCGAUCGUGGCGGAAUAAAAUGCCAUUCUGUACGAUAAUCACUCAGACUAACUGAAAUCUCGUUACUAGUAUUCGUCAGAAAUUCAUACAGAUUUGACAAUUCUCUGUUUGCCUCAAUAAAAUUUGACCCAUUAUCGGAAUAUAAAUGUGCUGGUUUGCCGCGUCUGGCGGUAAAUCGCCGAAAAGUGGCAAUAAAUGCCUCAGUGCUCAGAUCGGUGACAAGCUCGAGGUGUACUGCUUUAGUACCAAAACAAAUAGACAAACAAAUGUAAGCCUUAAAUUGCUUAGCACCUCGACCUUUCCGAUCUUUUAACAUAAAAUGACCGGCGUAAUCCACACCGGUCACGGUAAAUGGAGCUGACACUGUCACUCGCGCACUGGGUAAGUUUGACAUAAUAGUACUGCAGUCUUAAGGUUUAGCUUUAAAACAUGUAACACAUUUGUGUACAACACCCUUUGCAACAUUCAUGCCGUUAGUAGCCCAAUACUUUUCCCUAAUAGAAAACAAUAAUAAUUGUGGCCCUGCAUGUUUCAGUUGAACAUGCUCGGGUUCAAAGAUUAACUGGCUGAAAUAAUGCUUUCCAUCUAACAAGAAUGGAUGUUUCUUUUUAUAACUCACUGGUGCAUGUUUUAGGCGACCCCAACCCUUAAAAGCCCCUCUUUCUAUAAAAGGAGUAGGUGCUAAAAGUCUGUGUUUUGGUUUUAAAUUCUCACCAUUAGUCAGAAUUUCUAUUUCAGCGCUGAAUGAUUCAGCCUGUGCUAACUUUAUUAAAACAGUCAUAGCUUGUUCAAGCUGUUUAGGUGACAAAGGACCAAAUAAUCGUUUUUCCUUCUCAAUACUUUUUAAUUUGCUAUUGAAUAUGAAACGACAGUAAUAUGCUUGAACUCUUAAUAGUUUAUUUAAGGUUGAAAAACGAUUAAAAGGUAAACAACUUUCGAUUUCAUUUUUCUUUAAAACACAUACAUUUUUUACUAAAUCUGCUUAAUCAAGUUUUCCCGAAAAUAUCAUGUUUUUUGGCCAUUUUUUUUUCGCUCCUCAAGAAAUCAGGACCUUGCCACCAACAUUUUGAAUGCACCAAUUCAUUAGGACAUAUGCCACGAGUCGCAAGGUCUGCAGGAUUAUCUUUGGUAUUAACAUACCUCCAGGAAUCUAGCUCAGUUGAAUUUCUAAGUUCUGAAACUCGAUUACGAACAAAAACUUGCAAUUUAUCCAAAGGGGUAUGUAACCAAUGCAACACGAUUUGUGAGUCACAUCACAAAAAACAUUUAUACACCUUGAAUUGUAAAGCCUCAUUAACAACCUUUAUUAAACGGGUUAACAUCAACGCACCACACGAUUCGAGCCUAGGCACUGUUAUUGACUUAACGGCGCAACCUUAGUUUUCGAACAUAACAAAGAAAGCUGCGGUUUUCCUUGCUCAUCAAACCAGGUCAUAUAAAUUACCGCGCAAUACUCUUUGUGUGACGCAUCACUAAACCCAUGUAUCACAACAUUAGAAUUCUCUGACGAACCUAAGACAUAUCUAGGAAUCCUAAGGGAAUUAAACACCUCUAAAUUAUUUCGAAACUGAUUCCAAGAAAUUUCCAAAUCAUCUGGGAUCUUGUCAUCCCAAUCUAACUUAAGAGACCAUAGCUCUUAAAUUAGAAUCUUCACCACGACUAUAGCUGGACCUAACAGUCCCAAAGGGUCAAAAAUCUUUGCUAUGCUUGAUAGGACAUUUCUCUUUGUAGCAGGAAGUGAGGUAUCUAAAUUCUCUAUACGAAAAGUCAAAAAAUCAGAAGAACUGAUCCACUGAACUCCCAAAGUUUUAAUGUGUUGGUCAUCUCCAAAAUUUAAAACACUAAAAGGCUCCGAAGAAUCUUUCAAUGCAGCUAAUACCUCCGGUAUGUCUGAGGACCAUUUUUGCAGAGGGAAACACCCUGAUGCCAAAAUACUAGAAACUUCAGAACAAGUAUCAAUAGCCUCAGAUACACUGUCAAAACUUGAAAUCACGUAAUCAUCCACGUAAAAAUAAUUUAGAAUGAUAUUUGAAGCUUUUGAAAACUUGUCUUUACUCUCAAAUGCAAGCUGCUUAAUAAAUCUUAUCGCUAAAUAAGGAGAACUAACCAUCCCAUAGGUUACGGUAUUUAAAACGAAGGUAGAGAAAGGUUUGUCUGGAUCAUCCCUCCAAACUAUCUUUUGCAGACAUCUAUCCGCAGGAUCCACUAAAAUUUGUCUGUACAUUUUUGUGAUGUCCGCAGUCACAACAACCUUUCGUACCCUAAAUCUUAGUAAAAUGUGAAAAAUAUUGUUCUGAAUGGGAGGACCUUUAUAUUGAAUCUGAUUCAAGGAUUUGCCACUGCUUGGAACUGCCGAACCGUCAAACACUACUCUCAACUUCGUACUCACACUUUCCUCACGAAUAACACCAUGGUGAGGUAGAAAACACGAAACAUCUAACGUACGAUGUUCAUUCAGAUCUUCCAGUUCCAUAUGACCUAACCUCUUAUACUCCUCCAUGAAAUCCUUGUACAUAAUUUUGAACUUUUCAUUAAGAGCAAAUUUGCGCUCUAAAUUAACAAAUCGCUUGACAGCUAGAGUUUUUGUUGCUUCCACUUCAGUGGGUUUACACUUUAGAGGAAUUCUAACAACGAAUCUACCAUCAGCAUCCCUAUAAUGCUCCUUAACAAAUUGAUUUUCACAAAUCUCAUCAUCCUCUAAUGCAUCACUCCUGUCACUUACUUCUUCCACUGCCCAAAAUUUCAUCAUAUCCUCAUGAAUUUUCUCAUUGGUUACCAACAACGAAUUAACUGUCUCAGUCUGAUCAAAGGACUCUAAAGAAUCAUGCUGACAUAGCAAUCCCAAUUGCUUUGAAGGUAGGCAAACUGUUCCUGAAAUAAUGUAUCCAAACUGGCUGUUUUGUAAAAUAGGCAAAUUGUUACCUAAUGAUAUCUUAUACCCUCCUUUAGAAUACUCCAAAAAUGCUUAGCCCCAAUUAAAAAGUCAACUUUGCUAGAAACAAAAUACCUUGGGUCGGCAAGAACAAUAUUACCUGGAAUAUUCCAAGACGAAACAUCGAUAUUAAAUAUGAGCAAGUUUUCAGUAAUCUUUGGCAACACUAAACAAGACAUCUCAAAACCAAAUUCACUUUGCUUGGACCUUAAGGAAAUAUCACAUAUUUUAUUUAAACCCAAAAUUUCACUGUUUAACCCACAACAGACACAUUUGCACUACAAACUGGCAAAUCCAUUUCCUUAUAAAACGCUUCUGAAAUAAUACAAGAUUGGCUGCCACAAUCCAAAACUCCACGAGCAGUACAAAACCUGCCAUGCUUAUUCCUAACUAAAACUUCAGCAGUUGACAGUAAAACAUGUUCCUUUCUGGAACUCCGACUGGAUAGGGCAACAGCAAUCUCUGAAUUCUUAACCUCCUGAGUCACCACCAAUGUCUGUUCAACCUCAGGACUCUCUUGGCGUUUACUUGACACACCACCUAGCACCUCUGACUUUUCCAAGCUAGGUCUCGACUGAAAAUUAGUGUGCAACAAAGUAUGAUGCCUAAACUUACACUUCUUGCAGGGGUAAAACCUUCAUGUCUUGGAAAAGUGUCCCUUACAUAAACAAUUCGAACACAACUUCAAAUCUUUAACCUUGUCCCAUCUUUCAGAGACUGAAAACCCAAGAAAAAUGUUACAAUUAUAAAUUGCAUGACUCUGAUCACACAAAAAACACUUUACUUUUUCAUUUUCCUUGGUAAAAAACGAAUAACUCUGAGACUUACUACCCUUACUUUCAAAUUUAACAGUAUGUUUAACUUCCAGUGACUCAAGGAAAUCAGCACAGUUGCUCAAAAAAUUUAAAAAAUCUUGAAACAAAGGCAAAUUUUUAUCAUUCUCCUGCUCCCAACUACGAGCAGUACUCUUAUCCAACUUUAUGGAAAUAAAAUAAACAAGCCAAGCAUCCCAAUGCUCGAUAGGUAAUCCCAAACUUUUAAGUGCCCGUAAAUGCUUGUUAAGGGAGUCAAUCAAGUUCCUUAAACCCACCACCAAGUUAAAAAUGGCCUUAAGAUGGUCAUUUACCAAUAAACGAGAAUUGUCAAACCUCUUACAUAUAAAAUCCCAAGCUUCAGUGUAAUUGUUAGAGGAAAACUCUAAACUUUAAAUCACUUUAAUUGCCCCAUCCCCUAAAGACGCUCUCAAAUAAUGAAACUUUUGAAUUUCUCUCGAAAGAACUGUUAUGGUGAAUAAGUGAUUGAAAAGUUUCUCGAUAUUCAAGCGACUUACUAUGUUCCCCAUUAAAAUUUGGCAAUUUAAUUGGAGGUAAAUUCAUAUUAGAAAUAGUAGGCACUAUAUUUUGCGACAUAAACUGGGGUGGAAUUACCAGAGCAGGCGUUUGAACAGGAAUUUCAUCUUUUUUAGUUAACUUAUCUAAAGCCAAUUGUGCAGUUACCAAUGUGUCAGUAUGAAUUGCAGUAAAGCUUUCUCUGUCUGCGUAAUGCUCUUCUAACCUUGCAAUCGCACAAUUUAACUCGAUAGUAGACUGGACUUCUUUAUACUCAUUAAAAACUGCAACUAACUUUUCUAUUCGAAUUUGCAACUCACGGAUUGUUUUUUCACCCAGAUUUAAUUCCUGUUCAAUCGCUGCCUUUAUAGGAGCAAAGAAAUUAAUAAACCCUGCUAAUUUCUGUUUGAUAUAACAUAUAUUUGACAUUUUUAACAUCUACUAAAUCACAACCUAGAAUUAAUACGUCAUCCACGUAAGGCAAAACAAAUAAUUUUUGUUGUUAGAAAUUCGUUAGUACAAAUAAAAAUCAUGGCCUGAUUUAAGAAAAUUUUCUUUUAUCAUUAAAUUAUCAAACUUAUUGCUCCUAUACUUCGGAGACUUUAUAAGAUCCUAUAUAGACUUAUUUCAUUUAUAAACUUUUUGAUUCACAGUUUGUCCUGGCAAUGUCAUGUGCACCUCCUCCUUGAUGUCACCAUAAACCAAAGCACUUUGCACAUCCAUUUGAUGCAUUAUCAUUCCAUAAUAAUUGGCCAUUUUUAAAAGGAUUCAAAAUGUGCACAACUUGGCAACAGGUGCAUACAAGUCAUACGACCUCUCACUUUAGUUGUGCUAAAACCCCCUUGCCAAUAAACGCGCUUUAUAUUGUCCAUCACUUUUAAUCUUAAGAACCCAUUUAUUGUCUAUUAGUUUUUUGUCCUUGUGUCUUCUUUUGAAUACCCUCCUUCUAUUUUACAUUGUUCUUUUCCGACAGAUUUUCUUUUAAAUCCAAAGGCGCCUCACUGUCUGUGUAUUAAAGCACAUGUCACACUGGUCCAUAUCAGAAUUCAUAUCAUAAUCUUUCAUCCACACUGUUUGUCGAAUUUUCCUCUUUUCUGGUUUUCUUAAAAUACAUAUCUGUUGUUCAUUGACCUCUGGUUCAGCUUCCCUCACUGAUUCAACGAGAGAUUUAUCGGAACCAUUUACAUUCUCAAAAAUAUCAAUCUCCUCAUUAGGUUCAUCCAGCGCACUCUCACUACUCUGGUCACUUAGAUCAGCUGCCUCCUGUACUUCUUCAUGAUCAAAUUUGUCUCUUAAUAGGAGCCCUUGAUUUAUUUUCUCCUCCUCUUCUGAAAAAUUUAAAAGUCCAAGUUUUUCCUUUUUUAGAGGGUCCUUUAACUGAGGUUUGUCAUCUUCAGGUAUAAACACCAUAUCUAUAUAUCUCAAAAGUUUUCUUUUGUGGCAGAUAUACUCGAUAACCUUUUAUCAUAUGAUGAUGAUGUUGUUAGCAUCUAAUUUCGACCCUUUUUUGCUUUGGAAUAUGAACACUAACUUUUCUACCAUACUCCUGGAAAAAAAUCCAUACUUGACUAUUAUUUCUUCUAAUUGGGAAGUAAAGUCCGCCACCUUUCCAUCUACAUAGUUUAUAUAUUCUUGCUAUUUUCUUUAUUAAAUUUUGAUAAUUUGAUUUUCUUUUGCCCAUAUUUCUUUCUGAGGAUUUGCAGGCUAAAAUGGAAUUUGUGACACUCUUAUCCAGCCUGGAAACUAUAAGCUCUUGAGCCUUGUUAUCCCACUCUUGAUUGUUUCCUGGAGGCAUUAGCCUUUUUGUGGUGCCAUCCACUAUGCCCUAAAAUAGCCCUUUGACCUUAAUGCUAAUGUACUUGAAACUUCCAAGUAACCCAAUUUUCACGGUUUCAUUUUGCGAUAUUUAACAAGCCUACUUGCUCUGCCAUGUCUCUGUAUUCUUCUUAGGGUUCCUUCAAGCAUCACAGCUAAAGUAAUACACUUUUAUAGCUCUAAAAAAACUUUCACCGGCCCACCAAUUUCCACGACAAAAACCAAAACUUUAGAGCGGGUCUGGGCCCAUAAACUGUUGAACCAUUGUGUAUAUUGGGAAAUUGGGGUCUUAAUUAAAGGCACAAGAUACAGCUUAAAAAACUUUAAUUACUAGUAAAAAGGGAUUACAGUUUUCACACUUUUUACAUUUUUCAUUAUAUUGCAAACACUCUGAACUUAAACUACUUAGGCUAUUUCACCACAACCCCUGGUUGUAAAUAACGGAUUGUGGGUCGCUACCGGCAUAAUUUCAUCUUUUGCUAAAAAGUUGGUCCCAUUUGACGAGUUUUCCCUCCGGGUCAAUUAAAGACUUUAAAUCUUUGUGUUGCGCACUCAUUUCACCAUGUGAAGAUACUGACGGAUACAAAAAUAUACAUAAGUAAAAAUAAAUGGUUUCAUCUGUUGCCGGAUUUAUAAAUAAUGGUUUAAAAUUUGUGAAAAAAAAUGUGGUCAACAAAUUUGCUCUGUCAGUGCCGGUAAGUCUAUUGAUUUAAAAUUAUCCUAAUUUUACUUGCCAACGAUUAUUCAAAUACCUGCUAAAAAACUAAUGCACUUUUAGCAGGUAUGUCCUUGUUAUGCUCCCUUCUUAGGUUGUUCCUCAAAUUCACGAUUUCAGAAAAGUGGCCACUGUGUUUAUCCCAACUGAUUUGUGAUCUUAUUGACAUCUCACCUAUAGUGAUGUUUAUGAAAGCUUACUUUUCUUUGUAGUUUAGUGAUAUGAUAGAAAAAGCUUGCUUAGAAAAUCCUGGUUUUUCAUUAAUUGUACUGUACCAUUUUCGUAAUGUGUUUUGAUGAGGCAACAAUGAGUUUUUUAUUUUUGAAUUUAACAGCUUUAUAGUUAUAGCAAAUUCUAGCAAUUUCGCAUCCAUAUUUCCUUCUUUUAUUCAAAGUCUGCCAUUUUGUAUGUUUCUAGGGAAAAUAAACUCUCCUCUUUGCCGCCGUGGAUAACCAAUUUCCACUGCACGAGAGUCCAAAAGCUGGCAAACACAUAAUUAGAAAACUUGGCACAUGGCCACGUUAAAGCUAACGCUUCGCGCUCGAUUUGAGCAUAACUGUGCUCUCUUUUAGACAGCUAUCUAGCAUAAUAGACAUCUUUUUUAUUUUAUAUUGAAAUAAGACACGAUCCUAUACCAAAAGAAGAAGCAUCCACAGAAAUAAUGGUCUUCUGGCUGGCGUCAACAUUUUCAAGACAAGGAAUUUUCUGUAAUAAUGUUUUCAUUUUGUUAAAUGCCUCAAUUUAAGAUAUCAGUUCUGUUAAAUCGGCACGAAACCAUACCUAAAAAAACGAAGUUCAAAUAAUUUGACAAUCUCAUUUACGCCCUCGGGGUCUACAGACAUUUUCUUGUCAGAUAUGGGGGACCUGAAAAUUUAGAAACAAGAAAUGUACACCGAAAACACAUUUUUGUUUAUUUCAAGUUAUACCUUCUUUAUAAUUUCUUCUUAAAACUUCAUUUAAAAUGUUACUAUUCUCCUCAGUAGUCGGUGUAUAUCAUCGAUAUGCAAUAUUACCUUAUAAAGCCCCAUCAGAAUUUUAUUUAUUAGCAUAGAAAAAGUUCAGGUGGAUAGGUUACACCGAAUGGCAACAUUUUAAAUUUAAAACGACCGAAAGGUUUUAUGAAACACUAAAUCACACACAUUAAAUCCUGAUAUACUUUGCCGAGCUUAAUUGGAUAAAAUCCAGAGAUCGUAUCUAAACGACUAAGACAAAAAAGGACAGUGGUUUAUUUCGAUCAUACCUCCACUCAAUAUUUUGUAAGCACGUAUUUUUGGGAUCAACUACAAUUUGAUGGUAAAUUUUUUCUGUCUUCUGUAACUACAACUUUAUGUGCCUUUAUAAAAUAUGAAAAAUAUUAUUUUGUAUGGGAGGCACCUUUGUACUGAAUCUUAUUUACCGGUUUACCAUGACUUGGAACCACAGAACCAUCAAACACCGCUUGUAACUUUGCACUUAAACUCUCUUCUCUAAUAACGCCGUGAUGUGGUAAAAAUCCAUACACAUUUAUGGUAUCUUUAAUCUGCUCUAAUUCCAUGUGCCCUGAUAUUCUAUAUUCAUUCAUAAAUUCUUUAUAUUUAAAUUUAAAUUCUCCGUUAUGAGUGAAUUUAGAAAGCGUUGAAUAGCAAGAGCGUUUGUAUCUCCCGCUUUAGUUAUCCCUCUUUCAAGGGAAUUCUAACAAUCGAUCUAGUGGCCAUUAACAAAUUGAUUCUCACAAAUCUCAUCAUUCUCUAACAAACUAACAUUGUUACUUGCUUCCUCUACCUCUCAGAACUUGAUCAUAUUAUCUUUAUGAAUUUUUUCAGAAGAAACAAAUAAAUAAUUGACUACAGUUUAUUCGAGCCGUUCAAAUUUAUUAUGAGUAACGAAACCCCACGUUUUUGUUUUCAAAUCAAUUGUACUAGAAAUAACAUAACCAAGUUGAUUAUUUUGUAAUAUAGGCAAGUUCUUUCCCAAAGAAAUCUUUCUAUCCUUUAUGUUGUUCCAAAAAUGUUUUGCCCCAAUUAGUAAAUCAAUUUGAUUAGAUAUGAAAUAUUUCGAAUCAGCAAGAACAAUAUUAGCAGGUAUAUUCACUGUGAAAUGGCAAUAUCAAAUAUGGACACAUUUUCGGUAAGUUUAGGUAAUACUAAGCAAGAUAUAUUUACCGAAAACUCAUUACAGUGAGACUUUACCAUUAUUUCACACCUUUUUCUAAUACAACUUUUAUUAUUUAUUCCCACUACUGACACAUUUGCCUUAUGAACUGGUAAAUCUAUAAUCUGGAAAUAAAACAUGACUACCACUAUCUAAAAUUGCCCGAGCAAUACAAUAUCUAUUUUGACUACUUUUUACCAAAAUCUCUGUAGUGAAUAAAAUUUUUUAAAUUCAAUCACUGGCAAAGCGCGUUUUUGUUGGUUGUAAAAUAACAUUUUUACUAUUUUAUAUGUAUAUAUAUUAGGCCAGAGAAACAAAAAUUAUAUGCACGAUAAUGCCUUAUAAAGAAAACGUCGCGUGCUAAACGUUUUUAGUUUUUAUACUUGUCCAAGAAACUUCAUCUAAACUAUACCAUUUUUUACACUUAAAAUAGUCUAUUUUGGUUUUAAAGCAACAAUGGCAAAAUUAGCAAAUUUUCGGUUCAGGUAAAACCAAACGGGCACCAGUAAAAUGAAUAUUGUCACUGACGCGAGGAAAAGUGUCAAUAAAUCAGUAACAGUCGAUAUUUGAAAACAAGUAUGAAUUAUUCAAUCGACGAAAAAAUAGAUAUAAAUAUUUAAUUUAACUUCAUCGUUAUAUUAAAUAAAAGUUGAGAUAAAAAAGUAAUGUUAACGUGUCUUACUUUGAAUGUAUGGUUGAGGAGAUUGAUAAAACGAAAAAAAAAACAUUUCUUGUAUUCGGCUGUACGUCAGAUUUGACAAAGCCUUAUAACAAAUUGUUUGCUGGUGGUUGGUGUCUGGUUUUACCUGAACCGAAAAUUUGCUAAUUUUGCAAUUACAUUUAAUUGAAUAAUUCAAGAUUCGCUUAUUAAAAUUUUUUGAAACUUUGCACGAGGGUUUGCCAGAUUGGUCUCCGCAAAAAGUUAUCUUACAUUUUUCCUGUAAAACGUAUAGGGAAGCCAAUAAAUGACCCCCUUAAAAUUUACAUGGGAUUUCCUAUGUUCCGCUCGGCGACGCUCCACUCGGUAUAUACAAACAUUUAAGAUGUACUUACCUGUAGAUUUUUCCUGAAGACUUUCUUCAGUUUUUCACCGAAAACAAACUAGUACAUUUUGACUAAUUCAAUUAUUAACAAGUAAAAUGUAUUAUUAGACUAAAUAUAUUACAGUUUAAAUUUUUAAAGAACCCGAAACUAGAAAACAUGGAAAUGGGGAAAAUGUACAAGGCUGAGUCAUGAAGAAAGUUCGAGCAGAAGAGUGACAAGUGACAACAUUGGCAGGUAUGACUGUCUAUUACGCCAAUGUCAAUAUUAGCUGUUAAUAUCAAGUGUCAAUAUAGAUGGCGCUGCCCUUUCUAGUCAUUGAAUUACUAACUGUCAAGUGUCAAAAAUAAUGUAUCCGAAACGUGCUAUCUUUUGACAUCUCUCUUAUUUUACUUUCUCUAUGAGGCCGCCAUACUUAGAACCAACUAACUAGCAUAGCUGUUCGCAGGUGGCACUCCCUCUUCAGAGGUACAAAACUAGACCUACAAUACAAAUAGGCUAGGCAUUAGAUACAUUAUUAUUAUACUAAAGGUCGGAAUAUCUAUAAUACAGUUUUCUCGCCCCAACAAUUUUGGACCAAGCGUUUUCUUUACCUCGCCGAAGCCGAAAAUAACAAUACUCGCAUAACAAAACGUUUUAUAAUUUCACGGCUGCUUCAGAUAGAAACUCUACCUACCGGAUUUUUAAUCUAGCGGCUGGGAUCUACCUCCAUAACCUGUUGUAAUAUUUAGAUAUUUUUUAUUAAAAAGAACGUAUAGAUCAAGGCAAUGUUCAUGUAUUAGCUUUAAUUUAAAUGUAAUUUUUUGAUUAUCAACUCUAAUAAGGUAGGAUUAACACUUUUAUUCUACAUUAAGUUGUUAAUAUUGUGAUAAUUUUUAUAUUUUUGGUUAUAUCGCUUAUUGUAGUGUAAUAAAAGAUUUUCUUGUUGUGUUCCUA